GCAAGCGACAUAAAAGCUGAAGUUCUGCUAGAACAGAAACAUUGAGGUGCCAGGAUCCUUCAAGGGUGCGUUAGAUAUGAAAAAUGAUUGCAAGGUCAUCAUCUUAGUUUUCAUUUUCGUCUCGUCUAGUUAAGUUGUCCUCGUAUAUCUUAUUCAUUUCUCUUUCUACAUCAUCUCAUCCGUCAAUACUUAAGCUUUGAUAUAAGACAUAUGUGUUGAUAUUAAUUUCCCCCCGAUUUUGCUGUCUGGGUUGAAUUUUUGGCUUAAAUGUGCCCAACUGUGGUUAAACAUUGAUAUUACGCUUAUCAAUUUGCUUUGAACUAUGAGUUGGGUAACUGUUGGAAUAAAUUGAAGGUGACUAGCAUGAUGAUUCCACACUGAGGGAUCUUUUGUGCUUCAUAUUGCUCGGGUGACAUUAUGCAAAAAGGGCAGCUCGGUCCACUAAAUCUCCCGCUAUGUGCGGGAUCCAGGGAAGGAUCGGACUACAAGGGUCUACUGUACGCAGCCUCAACUUACAUUUCUGCAAAGGGCUGUUCCCACGGCUUGAACCCGUGACCUCCUAUCCUAGUCACACGACAACAACUUAACCAAUUAUUCUUAAGACUCCCCUUCUUGUGUGAUAAU
rnacentral:lncRNA from 1 species